GCAACGCACCUCCCCGGUGCGGGGACGCUCGGGAGCUCGCGAGCUCCGGGCUGCGCGGUUUCUCCUUCCACCUUCCGCGGCCGCCGUCCGCGGCUGCGAUCGGAGCCCCGCCCCGGGGAGCCUGCGGCCGCCGGAUUGGCGGAUGAGCCUCUCCAGGACCGAAUCCUGCCCUUGGACUGCAAUGACUGACUUCACAAUCACGAACUCGACCUAUCUCUGCAGCCCAUUCGCACACCCUUGACUUCUUGACUCGUGCCGCUCUUCUCCCCAGUUCCGAAAACGAGAAUCUGAGACAUCUCCGGAAGUGCUGCCAUGUCUGGGAAUAUUGAAUCUUCCUCGGAACAGAACAACAACAGCUAUGAAACCAAAACCUCCAAUCUUCGAAUGUCAGAGAAGAAAUGUUCGUGGGCAUCUUAUAUGACCAACUCCCCAACUCUCAUCGUUAUGAUUGGCUUGCCAGCCCGGGGCAAAACCUAUGUGUCUAAGAAACUCACACGCUACCUCAACUGGAUUGGGGUGCCCACCAAAGUGUUUAAUCUUGGGGUAUAUCGACGUGAAGCAGUCAAGUCCUAUAAGUCCUACGACUUCUUCCGACACGACAAUGAGGAGGCCAUGAAGAUCCGCAAACAGUGUGCUUUGGUGGCGCUGGAAGAUGUGAAGGCAUAUCUUACUGAGGAGAACGGGCAGAUUGCUGUGUUCGAUGCCACCAAUACCACCAGGGAGAGGAGGGACAUGAUUUUGAGCUUUGCCAAGGAGAAUUCCUUCAAGGUAUUCUUUGUGGAAUCUGUCUGCGAUGAUCCUGAUGUCAUUGCUGCCAACAUCCUGGAGGUAAAGGUGUCGAGCCCGGACUACCCUGAAAGGAACAGGGAGAAUGUGAUGGAGGACUUCCUAAAGAGAAUCGAGUGCUACAAAGUCACCUACCGACCCCUUGACCCAGACAACUAUGACAAGGAUCUUUCUUUCAUCAAGGUGAUAAAUGUGGGCCAGCGAUUUUUAGUGAACAGAGUCCAGGACUACAUCCAGAGCAAGAUCGUCUACUACCUCAUGAAUAUCCACGUGCAGCCUCGUACCAUUUACCUUUGCCGGCAUGGAGAGAGCGAAUUCAACCUCUUGGGGAAGAUUGGGGGUGACUCUGGCCUCUCGGCUCGGGGAAAACAGUUUGCCCAGGCUUUAAGGAAGUUUCUGGAGGAACAGGAGAUAGCAGACCUCAAAGUGUGGACGAGCCAGCUAAAGAGGACUAUCCAGACCGCUGAAUCCCUGGGUGUGACCUAUGAGCAGUGGAAGAUUCUGAACGAGAUCGAUGCUGGCGUGUGCGAGGAGAUGACCUAUGCACAGAUUGAGAAGCAGUACCCGGACGAGUUCGCUCUUCGAGAUCAAGAGAAAUACCUGUAUCGGUACCCUGGUGGGGAGUCCUACCAGGACCUGGUGCAGCGGCUGGAGCCCGUCAUCAUGGAGCUGGAGCGCCAGGGCAACGUCCUCGUCAUCUCCCACCAGGCUGUCAUGCGCUGCCUGCUGGCCUACUUCUUGGACAAGGGUGCAGAUGAGCUACCGUACUUGAGGUGCCCUCUCCAUACCAUCUUCAAACUUACUCCUGUGGCCUACGGAUGCAAAGUGGAAACAAUUAAACUCAAUGUGGAGGCUGUGAACACUCACCGCGACAAGCCAGCUAACAACUUCCCCAAGAACCAAACCCCUGUAAGGAUGAGAAGGAACAGCUUUACGCCUCUGUCCAGUUCGAAUACAAUAAGGCGUCCAAGAAAUUACAGUGUUGGGAGCCGGCCCCUCAAGCCCCUCAGCCCUCUCCGUGCCCUGGACACGCAAGAAGGGGCCGACCAGCCGAAGACCCAAGUCAGCAUUCCGGUGGUGUAACCGUGUGUCCCCUCCAGGCUUGGCCUCCUGCCCUUGUCACUAAGCACCAAGGAGUCAUUUAACUUCCAGCCCCUACCCCCAGUGCUCCACCACGGAUCUUAACACAGAACGUGAGCUCACGUGUUUCCAGACCAAUCUUAGCUGUUCUCCAGUGUGAAACAUGUCCCCGCCCAGGGGCCAUUUGACCAGUGGGUAUUUCAGGACACGUCCUCAUUUGGGGUGGUCUGGAGAAGGAGGAAAAGGGAUACGCUCCCCUGGGUGCUUAGCAUAGCUGGGUCUGAGGUUAAGCCUGCCCCGUAGACUUGGUUCUUGUCCCUGGUGUCUAAACCCCUAACGUCCUUGUGUUGGUAAAGUGGGGGGUGGGGCGGAGGGGGAUGCAGAAGCCCAUUUUUCCUUCACCUUUGUCUCUUCGAGGUGUGCUCUACUCACAGUCCUUACUUGCCUGCUUUGUGCCCCCCCUCGCUCACCUCCCCUUUGGAUUGUCCGGUGUGGUGCAUGGCAUUGUCGUCGUGGUGUCUGUGGAGCAGGGGAGGGGUGGCCAGAGAGAAGUCUAGGCUCUGUUGAUGCUCUCGGCAGGGGGCCUCAAUGGAUCCAGACUGGGGGAGCUUUUUUUUUUCCCCCUCUCCUUUCCUCUCAAGCCAGGUCCUGAAAGGGUCAGUCUAGGCUGUAGAACAUCCACAGAUGCUCUGGAGCCUGCAAGUGGACGUAGGGUGAGAGUACGUGCCUCCUUUCGUGAGAACCAGUCCUGAAUCUACGAGGCCCUGGGGGCAGUUGGCUCUGAGUGUGUGCAAAAUGUCUUGGUUGGUAUUUUUCACUUCAAAAGCCAGGCAUAGGUUGUUUUGGCAGCUGUAGAGUGAGGUUUAGGUGAAGGGGACAUUCUCUAGCUCUUGCAGGUCUCUUGUAGGGCAGCCAUGCCUAUUUUUCCAGUGGCUCCCAGCUUUGCCAUCCACAGCAACUUUCCUGCCGAGGCCAGUGACCUCUGGGGCUGUGUAGGACAGAGUUAGGUUAAAGAGUCACCAGUGAUGCUGGCAUUGCUCAAGGCAGACAGCAGGGAAGAGGUCACUAGAGCUUAUUUUCCUGGAAUUUUCAACACUCCACUUUAGAUUAAAAAAAUUUUGCAUGAGCAAUGUUGUUGUUGUUGUUGUUUUCUCCUAAAUCUGGGAGAGGCCUGAUGAUGAACUUAAUCUUCUCACGGGUGUAUUCUUUCUUCCAUCUUAAUGUCCUGGAGUCUUUGGGACCCUGAGGGGUCUAGCUCUGAGUUGUCUGGAAUUGCCUAUUUGCUUCUGUCAUUUUAUUUUCUCCGCAGGGUUAAACAGGAAAUGUUUAGAGCAGGGGAUUCUUAGCUCCUUGGUGGCCCUCCAAUUGUGCAUAUAAAACAUGAACAUAUGUGCAGUCUUCUGAGAGGGAAGUCCCGAUUUCUCAUGAGAUUUUUAUAAGUGAUGGGAUGAAUCCACACCUUAAAGUUAUCAAUUUGUCAUUCAGAGGAAACCGGCAAGAGCCAGUGAGCUUUAGGCCAAGGGUGUUUUUGUUUGCUAAUAGAAGACCUUUUGUCAUGGUUCUCAUCUAGGAGCAUUCAUUCGAAUCCUCUUUAGAAUUUUUUUUUUAAAGAUUUAUUUAUUUAUGAUAGACAUAGAGAGAGGCAGAGACACAGGCAGAGGGAGAAGCAGGCUCCAUGCAGGGAGCCUGAUGCGGGACUCGAUCCCGGGACUCCAGGAUCGCGCCCUGGGCCAAAGGCAGGCGCUAAGCUGCUGAGCCAUCCAGGGUUCCCCCCCCCCACCCUUUAGAUGGUAAAGGUUAUCAUCACAAGCAGCUGACUUGUGACCUGGAGUCCUUUAUUCUUACAUCCCGAGUAGGACAUCACAGUGUUUCCAAAAAGGUUGCAUGCCUAGCUUCUGCCCCUCGUUGCAUCUAAGCUGCCGUACAGCUUUGCCGUUACAUUCCGUGUACGUAGGGUCUUCGUGAGGGCUUCGGGCUGGGUGGGAGGCAGUGAUGAUGGUAGAGGACAGGGAAGUAGAAGAGAAGGUUCUUGCCCUGAAGAAGGUUAUUUUGAAGACAGGUUAUAUAAUUAUAACAAAUGAACGUUUGUGAAAGAGCAACACCUUGAGUCUGUAAGUGUGGACAUCAAAGUGGAGUUUAGAUUACUUCUGGCUUUUCUCUUGUCCUGUGAGACUAAAGGGGGUAGGAGGUGAGAAUCCUCCUCCCGCAGGUGGGGAUGAGAUGUGAUCUAGGCACAAGGUGGGGCACUUUUACAAGCCCUGGUGGAACCUGAGUGGCCGGCAGCACCCUUAGGCCAAAUGGUUAUUCAUUCAAGUCUUUUUUUUUUUUUUUCCUGCUGUGCACUAAGAAAAUUCAGAGCUAAUGAAUGACAAGCAGGAGCAUUUUGAUCCAAAGACUUUGGAUCUGAGCUGUGCAUACUCUUAGAGGAGGAUUCUCCAGCGCACGAGCCUUGUGUUACCCUUUUUGUGAACCCCAGCGUGAGACACAGGUUGCCAGGAUGUCCUCUGUGGCCCUCAGCCUGCUCCUCGUUUCUCCACCCUCCCCCGUGCUAGUUUGCUUCCCCCAAAGGGAGAGCCCGAGGUGACACAAGAAAUUAAGAUACGAGAAAUUAGAACUUGACGGUAGUGAGGCUCUCGGCACCCUUCAGGUUUUAGAGCAAGAUCCCUCCAGAGAAGUUUGAGCAGCAAGAAGCCAGGAGAAUAGAGCGGAACAGAGCUCUUGCUCCACAUUUCAGAGACACUCGGCUUCCUGCCCUUUCUCUCCUCUUCUUCCUUUCUUACUGGAACAUGUGUUAGUUGUAUCUACACGUUACCAUAAUCACGUCUAGAUCACAGAUCGUACAAAGAAAGGAGGGGUCCCAGAGCACCUUUUGCUGAGGCUUUCAAGUUUCAUUGUGGGAGAAAUAAGGGAAGGCUUUAGCCUGUUUAAAUUAUUUAAUCCAGUAAAUGGGGAAAGGAAAAUCCCUGUAUACUUUAUUUUCUUGUUUGGAAGCUGAAUGAUGAAUUUCGUGACAGACUUGAAAGAGGAAUCUGAAGCAGAUUUAGGGAACUAGCUUCUCUUGUUUCUUAACCCUCAAAUUAGAAUUUAGUUCUUAAUCUGUAUUGCCUUUGGUUUGGUUUGAUUUUGAUAAGGAGAGUGUUUUACAUUUAGCCCCAAAGUAGAGUAAGAAAAUCUUUUAAGAACAUUGCAUUGUGCUGUUGGGUCUGUCCUAUCUUGUUGUCUCAGGGUUGGUUGGUUGGUUGUUCCCCCCCAAGAAGUUAGAGUUAGGAAUACAAUGUGUCUGUAUUCCCAGGCUGAAUGGAUGAGUGUUUCCUGUGAUGUUCUGGGUGCUCCUCUUUGUAACCCACAAACAGAUCUACAGUGGCACCAGCAUUCUCAAGAAACUUGACAUAACUGUGGAAAUAAAUCCAUCUUACGGUUGUUCUCUGAGUAGGAGGUCUAGGUUCUGGAGAAACCCAUUGGGGUAGCCAAAGGACAGGGGGAAGAAAGUCUAAUGAUUGAGGGACCGUGUCUGGGUUAUACAGUCUUACGGACAUUCCAUUGUCUGUGCUGAGUUCAGAAGCCAUGUUGUGUUUGUUUUCCAGAAAUUUGACCAAUUUACCCAGGUUUCCUAGCAUACAUUUUGACUUGGUCAUGUUUUAAAAAUUUUAAUUUUAAAAAGAUCUAACAGUUGAGCCAGGUUGCAGCAUUGAUAGGAUGGAUCUCUGACUUCCCAGGAAUUUAAUUUAGACGCCUGGUGUCUAGAAGACUGUAUCUCGCGAUAACAAUAUGCUGGCUGACUGGCUGACGGACUCCAGUAGGUUUCUUGUCAUCCAACAGUCUGUUUGCUGAUUGUACCCUUUAGUAGCAGAUGUGUAUUACUAGAAUUCUGUGUCUGUCGCAUGUGUCCUUCAACAAAAGGACGUAAACACUCCACAUGUUUUUUCAGGGGGAAGUUCUGUAUACUAUGAUUUUUAAUAGACAUUUCAUUUAGGGUAGCAGCCAAAUUCUCAUCAUUUUGUAGCAAACGAAGAUUGAACAUCACUUGUGUAUAAUGUUUUGUGAACUCAGCGAAGGAGAUGCCUGCUCAAAGCCUGAAAUUGUUACCUCUGCCUGCAUUCAUUCCACUCACUCACCCACUUGUAGGCACGACUUGCCUUUCACCAGCGGCUGCUGACCCUGCUGUGUCCUCAGCUUCCCUGUCCCGGGAUACAGCAGUGGAUAAUGCUGUUGUUUUCUGUCUCCCAUGCAUCUAGCUCUUACUCUAAUAAAUAAAAAUGCAAAGGAAAUUUUACAUUUAAAAAUGGAUUUUAAGAGGUGGCAAAAGUAUUCUUUCCAAUCAGCCUUUCACUGGGGACCUAGGACCAAUAUCUAUCAACUCAAUGUUUUUGUAUCUGAAUUGCUUGUGUACAUUUUUUUUUUAUUGUGUUGAAAUAACAAAAUCAACUCGUCUGAUAUGGUGAUGGUUUUACUGUGGCAAAAGCAAAGGACUGAUCACCAGCUGUGCCCCUUGGAGGGAAUAGGAAAUGGUUGAAGGGAACGGACUGAAUUGGGAACUCAUGUACUAGAGUUAUCCUGCGGAUUUUCUAGGCACAGCUCUGGUGAAACAGUAAUGUGAGUCCUUACCAGCAUUCUGAUUUAAUGUGGUGACAUGAUAUCAAAAUAUGCACUCAGAUCCACAGAAGGUGUUUAUAACUAUAUUUGAAAUGUGCUUUUGUGUGUAUGUGUGUGUGUGUGUGUGUGUAUAGAACGGGUAAAUAAAAUCGUUGAGUAACUUGAACCUAUCAGAAGGCUUCUGGGUUUUUUGUUUUGUAUUUUGAGUUGUGUUCUCCAUCCACUACCCCACCUCCAAAGCUGUGUGCUGCUGCUCCAUGAUUGAGCUCAGACUCGUGAAAGCCAGUUGGCAGCAUGACUGGAUUCCUUGGUGUGGGCAUGGCUCUCUUCCACCACCUUCUGGGAAGGAUGGGUAGUAGGACAUUAUGGAAGGCACGUGAACUCCGGUAGAAGCUGUGUGUACGUUUUUGGCACCUCUUUAAGAAUUAAGAAAAAAUUGCCUUUGCCUACACUGUACUAUGACUCCCGUUAGCAACAUGUAACUCAUUAUUGUAAAGAAAAAAAGGUGGAGAUCUCUUAGAAUUUAGUGGGCUGCCCCUUCUAGAACGUGACCUGCCUGUUUCUAAAAACCUUGCAGUCAACAGAAUGAAAUGGCAUUAAACUUCUGGGACAGGAAAUACAGGUGGAAGUGUGUCACCGCCUGGCGCCUCAUUCCCUGUCAGCCUCACGAGGAGCAGGAACUCAUUAGCCAUGCAGACUCUCGGCCCUGUCAUCGGAAUCCUCAUCUUCAUAGACUUAUUACCAAGUGAUUCACAUGCAAAUUUAACACUUGGGAUUCACUGCUCUAGGGGGAAGAGUUCCUCACAAAAAGUUCAGCCCCAGCUUCUGGGAAGAAGCUGAUCUCUGCCCUGACGGAUUUCGGAUUUCGGAAGGGACCGUAGAGAGCCUCCUCAGAAGCCGAGGAGCCUCUGACUGCAGUGCCAUUUUGUCACCAUGGUCUUUUGGUUGAUAGCAGCCUACAUGCUCUCCUUUUUACCACAGGGCUUCCCACAGCCUCUGCCUCCUAUCUUGGGUAUAUAGCUUAUGGUCUAGGUCUGGAAGGAGUGCCUGAUCCAACAAGGUCACAAAGCUCCCAGGCGGAAACUGGGUUGGCUGUGCUUAGGCACUCACUCCCCUUCAGCGCCCCUCACCCCGCUUUGCCGAUGACGUGAAGGCCGAGGCCAGACCUCUCUGAGAUCUACUACUGCAGAGCCUGGGGAUGCCAGCUCCACGGGGGCUCCAUCAGGAAGUUAAGCUGGGAUUGGACAUUCGGGGCCACCAAAAUGAGGCCUGGAAAAACAUUACAUUUCUUCCCCUCGGGCCUAAUGGGAAUGUCUGUUACACAGGAAGACUUGACUUCCCUGUGCCUCAAAACAUCCAACAGCCUGAGCCGAUGAGUUUGUAUUAUCUCUGCUGGGGUGUGAGCCCAGUUGGCCAGUCUUGUUCUGUUUCUGUAUUUCACUUCUCACCUGCGAUUGUAUCCCUGGCUGCCUAUUCUUUUCUGAAAUGUGAACGCACCUCUUGAGAUGUGUUUCCAAGGGGAGGGCUGCACUGCCGCAAGCCUGUUCUGUGCUGUGAGAGCUGGUCUCUGCAUCCCUUCCAGGCUCGCGGGCGCGCACACAACGGAUGCAUGCUAGCAGUCCCUUUUUUGUCACAUUGGAAACGAGACAAACUCACCAGGUGAAUAGCGGGUAUCUGAGAAAUUCAGUCCCUGAAUUGUCUCUUCUGCGGUGAUGGAAGAGCAGUCUCGGUCAGCCUUCUUGUCAUUAGAGAAGUUUUUCCUUGUUCCAGGCCCCAUAAGGGUAGGAUCAUCCUGACUGCAAGGCUCCCCAGAACGAGUACCCAUCGUCAAAGUUCCUGUUUCACAAGUAGCUACAUCCAGUAUUUUCUACUGGAUGCUGUGUCCCCUCAUAGCUGCAGAGGGCUAGGUCAUCCUCUACCAGUUGGGAAUGAGGGCUGGAGAGAAAGGUAGGGUGCCGUUGACAUUACCUGAAGAAUGAAAGAGGGUUCCUUGGGAGUUCUUGCUUCACAACCAGUGCAGGGGGACAUGACUUUCUGUGGGGUCUGUCUCUAAGAAAGCAGCUGGUUCUGAUGCCUACCUCCUAGCUAAUUGUCACUAUUGGGUCUGCUGGUCUCUUACGCAGACCUCUUAUGUAGGUGUCUUAUGCUGGGAGAGCCAAGUCCUUGGUGCAUCCAUCAUUUGGUUUCCUGUGAAGUUAAGCCAGGUAGUUCUCUAGAGCAAUGUGAUUCUCUGUCAAUGUGAUUUAAAUAUGUCACUACUCCAAAGGAGGGUAUGGAAGCUCCAAAGGAUAAAGAUAAGCAAAAUCCUUUUUUUUUUUUUUUUUUUUUUUUAAGAAUAGUAAGUUUUUAGCUUUCUAAAUACUUUUUUCCUUUCAUGCAGAUACCCACUUGCUGGGCAAGAGGGUAAGUAAAGAGAAAGGUAAUGAAAUGCAGCUUUUAAUGGUUCUUUUAUACUGUGGAUGAUACAGGGCUCUGUUACCUAAGAUGUGAUGAGCUGGGCUGCAGGCAGUUCAGCAUCCAGCAACCAGGAGCUUAUUUUAUACGCACAAAGCUGCCUUCAGAAAGGCUCCUGACUCUGCUCUGUAGCAGGGGCUUUUCAUUUGGCCGCUCGUAGCGUGCGGUACUGUGAUGAUUUUGUUCUUGUGAUGCAGGUUUCUUUCUGCAUCUGAACGCAAUGCCUGUUGAUAAUCAGAUAAUGUUUUUAUUUAGCUAUUUAUUCAUCCAUGUGAGAUACUUUUAAAUCCCGUAGUAGUGUCUGCAUGUAUGUUGAUCGGAAUGUUAGAUAAUUGGUGUUGUAUGUUUUUCAGUAGAAAUUUAGGGAGGUUGAGAUUUUAAGUCUGAUGUCCAUAGUAUUACCUUAAAUUAAAUUUCCAGGGUCUAGGUACCUGCCUUCUGAAAAGGAUGACAACUACGGUAGGGCACAGUGGAUUUCUUUUGAAUAUUUUUCUUUCUGAUUGAUUUGUAUUAUAAGUAUCAGCCAAGAGAUGCAUUUCUCUGGUGAGAAGUUUAUCUCCUGGAUAAAUAAAAAUCAUGCUAAAAUACGUCAGUAAUAUGUAUUGCUUUGUAAUAAGAAAUAAAAGUUAUUUUUAAUUUAAA